GCUGUGCUGUACCUGUCCCGCAGGUUGCCGCUGCGCAGCCCCAUGGCCGUGCACUCAGCCUCGCUCACCGGCACCCCUUUGCAGGAUUUCACCGGGUAGAUCCAGAGCUUCGCCACGGUGCCCACCUGCUGCAGCCGCCGGCGCCGCCUGGGCCAUGCGCGGCGCCAGGCGACAGUCCCCAGGGCCACGGCGGCCAGUCCUAGCGCGGCGACCCCGAGCCACCUGGGCCAGGGCCGGGCUGGGAGGCCGAGGCGGGCCAGCGCGGAGGAGCUGGAAGCGCCCAUGGCAGAGCGAGGGCGGGCGCGGACCGGCGCACAGACCCGGCAGCGACCGGAGACCGGGAGGACGAGGAGGCCCUUAAGGAUCCGGGCAGGCGAGAGGAGUCAAAGUUGACCCAACUACGGACCCUCUCACACUUUCACCGCCGAGACGGCAGAGCAGUUCCGCGGAGAGCGGGAAUGCCUUAAUGCGGUGACCAAGCCUGCGCGGUAAUGGAGGAAGACAGGCAGACAGCGGCGGGGGUACCCUGGGCGCCGUGGGAGCGACGCCGCCCAAAGCAAGCGAGCUAAUGGGGCGGCCUCUGGGGUGGUCAGUGUCUCCUCCCUCUUCCCCGCCCCUACAACACGACAGUUACCCAUGCAACAUGACCUUCAGCGCCAGCACUCUGCCACCCCCUUCUCUGCUAAUACUGCACGCUUAGUCGCUCGACAAGAUCACCGCAGAACGUGAAGGCGGGUUGCCCAACGGAGGAUUUACAAACAUUUGGGAACGACUUUUUCUGGCAGGUCGCUGUGAGAACUGCAGGACUUUCUGCACACAAAGACACAGUCUAAACCUCUGCACUCAAAGACGAGGAACUCUAGCGUGGCUUAUAGGAGCAUGACUCAAGGUCCCCCACCCUCCGCUGCCGCCUAACCUCGACCCCAGUAAAAUGUCUUCCCGAGAAAGCUCAAGGCAGCCAGGAGAAUUCCCCGUUUAUUCUAGCCAACACCCGAUGAUAUUGAUCAUUCACCAGGCUUCGUCCUAGAUUGGCACUGGGGAUUUAAAGUUUAGAAGAAGCUGCCCUUCCAUCCAGUUCACUGACUCCCCAGAAGACUGACACCUCCCCUGCAAGUCUAGAGGAUAAUGUCAGAGGAGAAGCAAGGUCAAGAUGCAGAGGAUGCAGAGGCAAAAGAGCAGCUGAAUCUCAGGACAGUGCUGUUUUCAGAGGGCGGAGCUUUGGAGCUGAGACUUGAACAUGAGGAGGGGCUUGGAGAUGGGUAAAGGAGAGGAUUCUGGGCAAAAGGAGCAGCACGUGCAAUAGCCUGAAAAAAUGGAAGGAACAAGAGAGUGUGGCAUGUUUGGGCAACCACCAGCAAUCCAGCUGUAUUAGGAUGUACCUGUGCAUGCAGCAGGUGGCGGGAGUUGAGGCAGGACAGGUGGGCAGAGGUCAGAUCAACAGGCAUCUUAUCUCUACUUAAUGUGGAGACACCUCAGAAUUCUGAACAACAGUCUGGCAUGAUUAGACUUGGGUGCUAGGAAGGCCAUUCUGGCUGCUCUGAGAAAGAGUAACACCAAAGAUGGUUAGAUGAGUUGCAAAUGCCCUAGUUCAGGCUGAUGUAAUUCCAAAUCAAGGAAAAAUAACAGUGGGGCUGGAGAUAGACAUGUGGUUAGGAGAGAUGGUCAGGGGACAGAAUUAACAAGAGAUAGUGAUGACAGAACACAGAGCCAGAGGGAGAGGAAGAGCCCACGGGGCCUCCUGGCUCUGUGGCAUAAAAGUCUGGGGUGGGAUGGGGGUACCAUUCUCAGAGAUUAAGAAUUCAAGAGAAGCUGGGCACAGUGGCUCACACCUGUAAUCCCAGCACUUUGGGAGGCCGAGGUGGGCGGAUCAGGAGGUCAGGAUAUCGAGACCAUCCUGGCUCACAUAGUGAAACCCCGUCUCUACUAAAAAUACAAAAAAUUAGCCAGGCAUGGUGGUGGGCAUCUGUAGUCCCAGCUACUUGGGAGGCUGAGGCAGGAGAAUGGUGUGAACCCAGGAGGCGGAGCUUUCAGUGAGCCGAGAUCGCGCCACUGCACUCCAGCCUGGGCGACAGAGAGAGACUCCGUCUCAAAAAAAAAAAAAAGAGAAUUCAAGAGAAGAAGAUAGUCUGGGAAAAAAGAUGAUGAGCCUAUUGUGAACAGCGAGUGAGAGGUAUCUUUGAGACAUCAAAGAAGAAAUAGUUACCUAGAUAGAUGGGUAACUUGACCUUUCCAUGCUUCCACCUCCUCAUGUGCAAAAUGAUGGGGAUAGACAUCAAGUGAGGAACUUUGCCAUGGUGAGUGCUGCCAAGUCUUUGCUGUCUUCACCAGCCAUUAUCUAUCAUAGCCUGCCCUGUUUAAGCUUCACCAAUGCUGGGGUUGGGGGUGCCUUCAGGGGAGCAGGGAAAUUCCUUAUCAGUAAUGUGUACAUUUGCAGCCCAGCAUCUUCAUUUGUAGAAUUAGUGAGGGGUGAUGAGAGGCUGUAUUAGUCCAUUCUCACACUGCUAUAAUGAAAUACCUGAAGCUGGGUCAUUUAUCAAGAAAAAAUGUUUAAUUGGCUCAUAGUUCUGCAGUCUGUACAGGAAGAACGGCGGCUUCUGCUUCUGGGAGACCUCAGGGAGCUUUUACUCAUGGUGGAAGACAAAGCAGCAGUGGAUGUCUUACAUGAUAGGAGCAGGACCCAGAGAGAGGGGGGAGGUUCCACAUGCUUUUAAACAGCCAGAUCUCAUGAGAACUCACUCUCAGGAUGAUAGCACCAAGGGGAAUGGUAUUAAACCAUGAGAAACCAGCCCCAUGAUCCAAUCACCUCCCAGCAGGCCUUAACUCCAACACUGAGGGUUGCAAUUGAACAUGAGAUUUGGUUGGGGACACAGAUCCAAACCAUAUCAAAGGUUGAGGAUUCAUGAGUCUAAUUGGCUGUUUGCAUAUCUUUUUUCCCUUCUGAUUUGAAUCAACUUAUCUAUUUUUUUGUUAAUUUAUAAGAUCCUUUUAUAAAUUAAGAAAAUUACCCUUUUAUCAUGCCUUCCCAAGUCAUAACUUUUUCCCCUAGUUUGUCAUAUUUUGGCAACUUCUGCUUAGGAAAAAUCUUUCUAGUGAAUAAGACAUCAUUGUCUGCCUAGAGGCACUGACAUAGAUAAAGAAAACUCUGUCAAUUAAAAUAUCAACCAAGAAACCAGAGAAAAAAAGAAGCCUAAAACCCAAAUAUUACCUUGCUUAGCCAGGUCCUCUUCAGGAAGGUGAGUACCCAGCAGCCAAUGGAAGUAUUCAUCAGGGCCAUGUAGCAGUUUGUCUUUCCUGGGGAGAUGAGCACAUCAGAUUAUCAGGCAGUGAGGAUAGUCAACCUUCAACCCAUAUAACAAAUCUCAUGACGCAGGCUAGGCUAAAAUAUUGUAACAACCUCAACAUCUCAAUGCUCUAACAAAAUAAAAGUUUAUUUCUCACUUA